AAAACGGCCCUUUUCAGGGCCACUGAAUAUGUUCAGUAAAGAUAUUG
rfam:Anopheles culicifacies strain species A-37_1 cont1.1425, whole genome shotgun sequence.